rnacentral:rRNA from 1 species
AGAGUUUGAUCCUGGCUCAGGACGAACGCUGGCGGCAGGCUUAACACAUGCAAGUCGAGCGCCCCGCAAGGGGAGCGGCGGACGGGUGAGUAACGCGUGGGAAUUUUCCUCAAGGUACGGAACAACUCAGGGAAACUUGGGCUAAUACCGUAUGAUGUCUAGCGACCAAAGAUUUAUCGCCUUGGGAUAAGCCCGCGUCAGAUUAGGUAGUUGGUGGGGUAACGGCCUACCAAGCCUGCGAUCUGUAGCUGGUCUGAGAGGACGAUCAGCCACACUGGGACUGAGACACGGCCCAGACUCCUACGGGAGGCAGCAGUGGGGAAUCUUGCGCAAUGGGCGAAAGCCUGACGCAGCCAUGCCGCGUGAAUGAUGAAGGUCUUAGGAUUGUAAAGUUCUUUCGCCCGUGACGAUGAUGACGGUAACGGGAGAAGAAGCCCCGGCUAACUUCGUGCCAGCAGCCGCGGUAAUACGAAGGGGGCUAGCGUUGUUCGGAAUUACUGGGCGUAAAGCGCGCGUAGGCGGUUUUGCAAGCCAGAGGUGAAAUGCCUGAGCUCAACUUAGGAAUUGCCUUUGGGACUGCGAGGCUUUGAGGACUGGAGAGGUGAGUGGAAUUCCCAGUGUAGAGGUGAAAUUCGUAGAUAUUGGGAAGAACACCAGUGGCGAAGGCGGCUCACUGGCCAGUUUCUGACGCUGCAGCGCGAAAGCGUGGGGAUCAAACAGGAUUAGAUACCCUGGUAGUCG